CAGUAGCCGCGGGAAUACGUAGGGUGCAAGCGUUAAUCGGAAUUACUGGGCGUAAAGCGUGCGCAGGCGGUUUUGUAAGACAGAGGUGAAAUCCCCGGGCUCAACCUGGGAACUGCCUUUGUGACUGCAAGGCUAGAGUACGGCAGAGGGGGAUGGAAUUCCGCGUGUAGCAGUGAAAUGCGUAGAUAUGCGGAGGAACACCGAUGGCGAAUGCAAUCCCCUGGGCCUGUACUGACGCUCAUGCACGAAAGCGUGGGGAGCAAACAGGAUUAGAUACCCCCGUAGUCCCUGUCUCUUAUAC
rnacentral:rRNA from 1 species